CACGCUGCGUCGUCGUCGUCGGCCGGUCAGGUCCACGGAAGGCUUCAUGAAUGCUUCUGCUUCGGGGGCAGCAGGCGUGGCGAGGAGGAUGUCGGAACGGGCGCCGAUGGUCGACUGGAUGACAAGGUCGUGGCGCUCCGGGGCAUCAACCCGUCUGCGUUCAGAUUUGCUUCAGACUGCUUCCUUGAGCUAGACAACGCCGUGCGGCAAGUAGCACAGGAGGAAAUUGAAAGACAUUGGAAGCGCUGGAUGUUCAAUUUUAUCCAUAAUUAAUGCUCGGCACUGCAAGUUCGUGAAACAAAUCCAAUAUUAUGCUUUCACAUUCAGAACUCCAAAUCUAAUGGGAACUGCAUCUAACGGGUUGAUGAAAGCUAGAAGUUUGCAUCGUCUGAAGGGCGCUAGCUCUUCCUCAGUCCUCCUGAGCCAACGUGCAUCACGAUGCCACGCCCCCCCUGAUUCGGUAACUGGCCGCCGCAGCCAUGGGUUCAAUGUAGCGCGCGGAUUCGGCAUCCGGCUCCGAUGCUGAACGCUUUCCUCCGCUCUGAGCAGAGUCGAAUCCGCCGACCUGGCCCGGCCGAAUCACGCACGCGCUGCACGCGCUAGGGUUCCCCGCCCUGCCGUGGUACUACACCGGCCGAGUUUUUUUUUUUUUU